GGAAAGGUGAUAUAAGAAGCUUUCAUGAUGCUUCGGAUUUUGUUUAUUAUUUUAAAAGAGAUACAAGUUAAGGAUUGGAAUUCCUGGGUGUUGCUCACUUUUUGUUGUUGAAUUACUUUUGGCUAUUUGACGGAACUCCUUUGAAAGUGAUUCCACAUAGCACAGGGUAGCCAAGAAAAGAGUCACAUAUGCAAUUUUAAAUUUUCUAGCAGCCAUUUUUUUAAAGUAAAAAAGAAACAGGUAGCAUUAAUUUAUUUAAAUAUCUUUUAUUUAACAUAACAGAUCCAAAAUGUUAUUUCAAUAUAUCAUCACGACUUUUAAAAGGUAUCAAUGAAUAUUUUACAUUCUCGUUUUCAUAGUAAGCCUUUGAAAUCCAGGAUCAAUUUCAUGCUCACAGCACAUCUCAAUUUGGACUCCACAUUUCAACUGCUGUAUAAAAGCCACGUAUGGCUAGUGGCUGUUAUAUUGAUCAGCAUCAUCACAGAUACAGGGGCUGGGCUAUGUAGUUCUGGGAUUCUGAAGGUGAAAUAAUAAUAAUAGCCAUAAUAAUAACAACAGGCAUUUAUUGAGCCUCUUAGAUAUGCCAAAUGUUAUAUUAAUUCCCUUUCUCAUGCAUCAUUUCAUUUAAUCCUCUUAACAACCUACAUUUUGGGCACUAUUAUCAUCCCAUUCUACAGAUGCAGAAACAGAGCCUCAGAGAGGGUGAGUGCUUUGCCCAAGGUCACACAGCUGGUAAGCAGCAAAGCUAGGACUAGAAAACCAGUCUGUCUGUCACUAACCACUGCCUCAAUAACUUAGGGUCAGUAAAGGAGCCAGCCAGCAGCCAGACUUUCCUCAGUCCCUUCCUCAGAGCCCAUGCACAAGGAGUCACUUUGUUUUCUGAUUAGCCAAGCUGCCAUGUUGCCUAAAAACCAGACUGGAAAGAACAUUCAUUGUACAGCUGAGCAUAUUGUGUGAUUGAGUGAGAAAAGAACAGCAACAAGAUGCUCUGCCUCUCGUCAACUGUAGGAAGCUGCAAAUUCAAGGCCAGUGACCAGGUUCACAAAAUGCAAUUGUUCUCAAUGACACUUAACAAAGAGCCAGGGAGAGAAUCGAUUGUCAUUAAAAGCUGGCCAAGAACAUCGAUCGUCUCCCCAGUGAUGAUCUCAGAAUUUUGACUUAGCCAGGCCAAGAGCGUUGGUGCAGAGACGUUUUGAUGUGAUUUCUCAUGUGGAAAUGGGCUCCAGCAUGGCGAGUCAGCACAAAACAAGCAUGAAGCUAAGGACGGAGCAGCCAGAGCUCUGCCCAUGCCUCUCCUGCUCCACCUCCAUGCCCUGUAGACAGAAAGCAAAGGAGGAGGACUGGCUGGACUGGGAGAUAGUAGAUCCUGUGGGUCCUGUCCCUUCCUCUCUGUUCCUCUUUAUCCAGAUACUUUAGAAGCCUUUGGAACUGUGACAUUUCUGGGCCUCACAUUCAGGGGAAGGAGGAUGAUUCCUUCAGCCUGCUGGCCAUAGAGAACCUGGCCAUGGAUAUGGCCUAGAUAAAACAAGCCAAACCAUCUCCUAUUUAUCCCUGAGACCCCAAGAUGGGCAGUGAGCAAGGCCUCAUGCCCCUAGAGCUCUCCUAGGUGGGAGGGAAUAUCUUGCUGUCAAAUGCUCCUGAAUACAAUUCCAACUCCUGCUCUGUCCUGCAUCUUGCUGUGGUUGGGGAAGAGGGUGCAAUGCUCUCAUUUAUAGUAUGCAGGCUAGGAUCUGAGCAGUAAGUCUUGUUCAUCCAUCUGUCUAUCCAAAAAAUGCUAGCUGAGUGACUGCUGCAGCCAGAUGCUAAGGCAGGUCCUGGGAAUAAACAGAUGUACAGGGCAAAAAGCUUGCCCUUUAGGAGAACAUGACAGACACUGGGAAAUCAAUAGCCACAGAGAAACAUAGCAAGUGCUAGAAUGAAAGCAUGUUAACCACAAGGUACCUUGGUAGCAGGGAGUGGAGAAGUUGAACACAGAGGGAAGACAUGAAGACAUUCCAGAAAGGCAGAGAGGGUGGUCCAUGCGAAGCAACAGAAGGCACUAGGAACAUCCUGGGAACUGCAACUUACCAAGCAGCUGAGGCUCAGAGUGGGCCUGGGAGGGGAUGGGAGAUCAGACUGGAGGGCUGGCUGGGAGCUUAGCCAGAGCACAGGGCACAGCAUAGGACUUUAGGCAGGGGCACAGUGUCAGAUGGGUGAUUGGACGGUCAUCCUGGCUGCAGUGGGUUGUGGGGGAAUGGAUAAAAGAGGGGCAGGACCAGCGUGCUAGCCUGGGGGUUCCUGGUGCCCUCAGUUUCCUUCCUUGGCCUUCCUCUGCUCAGCUAGGCUUAGCUCUGCAUGAGUAUGAGUCCAUUCUCACACUGCUAUAAAGAAAUACCUAAGACUGGGUAAUUUAUAAAGAAAAGAUGUUUAAUUGGCUCAUGGUUCCUCAGGCUGUACAGGGAGCAUGAGGCUGGCAUCUACUGGGCUUCUGGGGAGGCCUCAGGAAACUUACAGCCAUGGUGGAAGGCAAAGGGGGAGCAGGCACUUCACAUGGCUGGAGCAAGAGGAAGAGAGAGAGAGGGGAGGUGCCAAACACUUUUAAACAACCAGAUCUCAUGAGAACUCACUAUUGUGAUGCCUUACUUUUAAUGGCAAAAACCACAAUUACUUUUGCACCAACCUAUACUUGGUGUGAUGGUUAAUUUCCCGUGCAACUUGACUGGGCUAAGAGAUGCCCAGAUAGCUGGUAAAACACUAUUUCUGUGAGACCAUAGCUGGGUGAGAUUAGCAUUUGAAUCAGUAAAUUGAGUAAAGAAGAUCCACACUCACCAAUGUAGGCAGGCGUCAUCCAAUCUGAUGAGAGCAUGAACAGAACAAAAAGGAAGUGCAAAUUUUCCAUCUCUGUUCUUGAGUUGGGACAUCUGUCUUCUCCUGGUUCUCAGGCUUUCAGACUCAGACUGAAUUACACCACCGGCUUUCCUGGGUCUCUGGCUUGCAGACAGCAUAUUAUGGGACUUCUAGGCUUCCAUAAUCGUGUAGGCCAAGUAUCAUAAUAAAUCUCUGCUUGUGUAUCUAGACCUCUAUCUAUCUAUCUAUCUAUCUAUCUAUCUAUCUAUCUAUCUAUCAUCUAUCUAUCUGUCUAUCAUCUAUCUAUUAUUGGUUCUGUUUCUCUGGAGAUCACUGAUAAUAUACUUAGAGUGUCUCCAUUUCCCUGGUGGGGCCUGACUUGUACAAAUGGAGAAAGGGGAAGCAAUUAAUGCAAGUUUUCUAACUGCAAAAAUCCAACAGAGCAAUGAUAUAGGUUUGCACAGAGGUUACUAUCGCAGUGAGGAUGGAACUUGGAGAUGCUUAAGAGGUGGAAUUGAUAGGGUUUGAUGGCAAAAUGUGGGGAGAAAGGGCUAAUUUUUUUGAAAUUUUUGUAGUUAAAGGGUUUUGUCAUAUUGCCCAGGCUGGAGCAAGUUUCUUGUGGAAAAGAGACAGAGAUAUACCGCUUGCUGGCUCUGAAUGAAAGAAAAAUUUGGUGAAAUGGACGUAUCAUUGCCAACUAUCUGUUUAGCUAACUGAGGAUAUGAAAAACAAACACACACCUUAAAUUUAGAACACCUUAAGUAUCCAAGUGGCAGGCACCGUACUGGGGUUCAGCAUAAAAUACCAUCUGAUGCCUGCCCCUAAGCAGAUCACCUCCAUCAGGGGAGCCAACAGGUGGAUUUAAAAUCCUAACAGCCUGUGAUGACAGCCACCAAUAGAGACAGGACUUUGGUGGUCUGGAACUUGGUGAGAGAACGAUAUGACUUGGGCCUUGAAGGACUGACAGAGACUUUUCAGGAGGAGAGAGGUAGGGAGUGCAUAGAGCAUCCCAGGAAGGGGAAAAAAUGUGAAGAGGCCCCGAGCCACAAAAGGCUGAAGAGUUUGGUGACUGGAGUCAUUGAGGAUGCCCGCAGUUCAGGUGGGUCUGAGAAAUGACAGAAUCAGAGGUGAUUUGGAAAGAGAAGUCUCAUGGUCCUGCAGAGGAAUGUGUGGUCAGUGGAGACCAGCACCUGUGGUCAUCAUCUGGGCAAGAGGAAAUGGGACUUGACCAGGAUGGCGGCCAGAGGAGUGGAGGACAAAGGAUGAUCAAAGCUAACAGGUGAGAAGAGGGGAGACUGGCAGGAGAAGAAGACAAAGGCUGGAUUCAUCUUUGCAACCAACAUGCUUAUGUCUAGAAAAGACCAACAACUACUAAAAAGUUUGGGGAAGGAUAUACCAGCUGCCAGUGAGAUGCCCAUUAAUCAACACAGCUGGAUUUUUGGACACGAUCAUGCUUGAAGACCUUACCUUAGCAUAGAGUGCAACUUCAUUUCCUUUCUUAUAAAGGAAGACUACAGACUUAUACAUGGAGAAUGAGGAGGUACUUGACAAACUUUUGACUGGAUGGAGACAUGUACAUUGCAUCUUCAGAAAGCCUGGUGCCUGCAUAACUAGUUGAAUGAUGAAUGACUGACAAUGAAAGGUGCUGACUGAGAAGAAAGUUGACCUACAAGGAGGGCUCUAGACCCAUGCCACAUGGCUCCAGCUUUGUCCUUAUACAAAAGACAUUUUCAAAUUUGUGAUUAAAUGAUACCUGGAAGGAAAGCAAAUGUUUUUGAUGACAAAAUCUGAAUCCUCAUACCCCCAGCCCACUGCCAAUCUGAACUGGCUUAAGACAGUGGACCAAAUCCAAGGAGAUUUGACAGAGAUAAUGUAGUCCCUCGCCGUGACUCAAAAUGGGUAUCUGGAGAAGAACAUCAAUAGACAGGACUUACUUGUUUUAGCUAAUAGCAACUUCAAUGUGAAUCAGUGGUUUGGUUAUAUUAAUGGAAAUAGAGGAUCUAGAAUGAGGUGGGGAGAGUUUCUCAUCAUUGAACUGUACCUGGAAUUCUGUUGUCAGUUCUCAGUUCUGAUCACAAAUGGGAACAUGUUCAGAAGAAAGCAAAUAGGAGGCAGAAGUUGGAAUGUUUAUUCUGAAAAAGACUUAGAAAUUAUUGUUGUUUUCAACAAUAUUAUUGUUGCCAUGUGCAAGAUGAUUUAAGUUUACAUGUUUGUGGCCUUUUAGGAUAGUCUAAGCACCUUCAGGUAAGUCUUAGGGAGCAGGAUUUUGUCUUAAUAUAGGAACAAUUAGAAGUGUCUGAAUACGGUAAAAACCUCUGGAGGCAGGUGAUGUUUGGGCAUCUUGACACCAUUUAAUGGUGAACUGGGGACAUUGUAGCAAGGAGUCUAUAAAUAUGAAUUCUCUCUUUUAAACUCUUAGAGAGUCACUUACAGAUGAUUCCACCAAGAUAAAUAAUAAACAGUCAGCAAACAUAUGAAAAGUAAUGUAACUUUGCUAGAAAUUAAAUUUAAAUUAAAAUGGCAACAAAGUACUAUUUUUGUCUGUUAGCAAAAAUUAAAGAGUAAAAUCAUAUCCAAUACUGGUGAGAGUGUCAUGAAACUGGGGUUUGCAUUCAUUGCUGUUGGCAUUGGUGCCUCUUAGAAAGUCUGCGUAUAAAUAGCUACCUCAUUGAUAACACUUUUGUUUCAAUAGUCCAAUAGGCAAUCUAACUGAAAGACAAGUGGAAAGAAUGUAAAUUGCCACAUACCUGAAGAUGUUCAUUGCAGUAUUACUUAUAAUGGAGAAAUUGAAAGCAAUAUAAACAUUGAAGAGUAAGGUAACAGUUGAAGAUGGCAGGACACCCAUUCAACAGGAUGUUAUGUAUUACUUCAAAAGAUAAUCAUUUUUCACUAUAGCUAUAUGGAAAAUGCAUAGGAUAUGGUAAGUGUGUACGUGUGGUGAAUUGCCAGCUAUGAAAUCCUACAGAUCUGAUGAUUAUAAUUACAUACCAAAUAAAUGGAUACAAUAGAAAAGACAGAAAAUUUCUUCUCUUUAAGUCCAGCUCCACGACUAGCUAGGCGUGUUAUCCUGGGCAAAAAUUUUCCUGUGUCUCAGCUGCCUGGUCCAUAAAAUGGGGAGUUUGGACCAAUGGUCUCUAAUAUUCCUUCCUGUUUUAUAAUGUGAAUAGACUGGACUCAUUUAAUGAAGAAACCGUAUCCUGGGGGGAGCUAGAAAUCAGCCACUAUCUUGGUUUCAGACUUUCCCCACCAGACAUAAUAUGUACUUCGUCCAUAUUAUAUCUUUUUAGAAGUCAGUUUGAAAUGUGUACCAGGUGAGAAAAAGUAGAAUUCCUGACUCUCUCAAGUAAGCUGCCGUAUUUGAAGGAGAUUUAGCCAUAGAUACUCCAAAUUACUUUAUUAUGGAGUAACAUAAAACGAUUCUCACAAAAGUUACUGAGUCCAAAAAUGCCCAAGAAUGAUUUCAAAUUACGGUAUGACUGCUAUGAGCAUUAUUUAGACACACUGCUCUAGAAAGGUCUGUUCACACAAAACAAAGGAGCAAUUUUUUAAAAGACUUGAGUACAAGGGAAUAAACAUAUUAUUUAAUAUUAUUAAAUGCUUAUUCCCUUGUACUUGAGUCUUUUAAAAAAUUGUCCACACCCAGCCCACAAACCCUGGUUUUGUAUUCCUAUCAAUGAAAAAAAAAAGGUCAAAAUACACUUCUGCUGGCAUAUGUAGGGCCAUUUGGUUUGGUGAUCUGGAAUUAGGGUAACCAGAACAUGAGCUUUUAGCUCAUAAAAACCUCCUAGUCAUAUCAGACUCCCGAAAAUGCCCUCAUCUGUUCAUAACUUUCUAGAAGGAUGGUGACUUCUUGGUUCAUACUUUCAUCAGGCAGUGCAGUCAAAAGGUAAGGAGAAAACUGUUUAGGGUCUGCAGUGCCCCUCACUGGCACCCAUCCAGACUCAGCUUCAAACCCAGAAGAGCCUUCAUGGUCCCUGACACCAUGGGGAGAAGUUCCCUUCUCUAAGAACCCAUAGGAAUUUGAAGACAGUGUUACCUGAUCAGAAUUUUGCAGGUGUGAUCAUUUAGACAGGGCUCCCUCAGGCAUGCUGAUCAUCCACGUGGGGUCUCUCCUCCAGUCUCGAGAGUCACUUAUUGAAAAUGGUUGUUGUAGGUGCUGUUUUAAGGUGGCCCCACCUUAUAUUUGGCCUCAAGCACUACCCAAUUUAGAUGAUUACUUGAUUCAUCAGAUUCAGCUCCCAAUGACUUUAGCUCUUCCUCCCAAUCAAGUCUCCUCAAAUAUUGAUUUGUACCCUGGAGGACACAUCACAGCUUUGAAAGUGAUUCAACAGUGGGAUCAGAUAUGGCAGCAAUAAGGGCCAAACCCACAGGAUCCAGAGGUGACCACCUUGAGAUGGGUAACGGGGAGGAAUUUAUCCCCGUAAGCUUACCAGGACAGAUGGGCCUAUGACCUCAGAAUGAUACCAUAACUGCAGGAGGACAGGAGACGCAGCCCAAGCAUCUUGGAGAACAAAGACACCAGUGGAUGUGGGGGCCCAGCAGAAGGGUAGUGUCCAAGGCCAACUCUACACUACGGUUACUGUUGGUGGCAAGACCUGCAGACAGGACAUGCUGAAAACAAAACCAUCACAAAAGGAACCAGAGAGAUGCACGAGAACAUCCUCUUUCUACUCCUCCAGCACGGUGAGUGGUGCCCUGUGAUCCCUUCCUUGUUCCCACUCCCCUCUCUCCCAUCAGCUCCUUGUUGGCUCCUGGGGGAUGUGUGUGCGAGGGUCUGGGGUGGGCACUUGAGUGAUGACGUAAUAAACCCUGGCAGAUGAAGGUCUUAGGGCUAGGAAUGUCAUUACAAGAAACCCUCAGGAUCUGGGAUAGGCUGGCAGGCUCCAGUACUAAAGUACAAUUGCAGUUUAUUGUUUGACAACUUCCAAAUGAAAGGGAAGCUCUGUCUAAACCACAAGUCUUAAGGCUCAUGAUGGGAGGCUGGCCAGCCACCAGCUACACCAAAGCUGGAAUUCUCUUGAGAUCCCGGGUAAGCCCAGCUUCCGAAUGUGCAUUUGUGUUUGCAGAGCAGUGUGUGAUGCCCACCCAAGCCUACGCACGUGUGAGGAUGGGCACAAUAAAUGCAGCUGAGAACCCCGAAACCAGACUGCAAAAACUGCACACACGCCUGACCGCAGGUAAGGAACAGAAAUGACGUUGUGGACCAGCAUCUGCACAGGGAGGCGCAGCACACAUAACACUACGUGGUGUUUUUCUUCAAUUGAU
rnacentral:lncRNA from 1 species